rnacentral:misc_RNA from 1 species
GAUGAAGAACGCAUCGAAAUGCGAUACGUAAUGUGAAUUGCAGAAUUCAGUGAAUCAUCGAGUCUUUGAACGCACAUUGCGCCCUCUGGUAUUCCGGAGGGCAUGCCUGUCCGAGCGUCAUUGCUGCCCUCAAGCACGGCUUGUGUGUUGGGCCCCGCCCCCCGAUCCCGGGGGGCGGGCCCGAAAGGCAGCGGCGGCACCGCGUCCGGUCCUCGAGCGUAUGGGGCUUUGUCACCCGCUCUGUAGGCCCGGCCGGCGCCUGCCGAUCAACCAAACUUUUUUCCAGGUUGACCUCGGAUCAGGUAGGGAUACCCGCUGAACUUAAGCAUAUCAAUAAGCGGAGGA